UACGGGGGGGGCAAGCGUUGUUCGGAAUUACUGGGCGUAAAGGGCUCGUAGGCGGCCAACUAAGUCGGACGUGAAAUCCCCAGGCUCAACCUGGGAACUGCGUCCGAUACUGGAUGGCUUGAAUCCGGGAGAGGGAUGCAGAAUUCCAGUGUAGCGGUGAAAUGCGUAGAUAUCUGGAGGAAUACCGGUGGCGAAGGCGGCAUCCUGGACCGGCAUUGACGCUGAGGAGCGAAAGCUAGGGAGCAAACGGG
rnacentral:rRNA from 1 species